rnacentral:rRNA from 1 species
CUACUCGGGUUUCUAAUCCUGUUUGAUCCCCACGCUUUCGUGCCUCAGCGUCAAUCUUCGUUUAGCCUGCUGCCUUCGCAAUAGGUGUUCUAUGUCAUCUCUAAGCAUUUCACCGCUACAUGACAUAUUCCGCAAACCUCAACGAUAUUCAAGAUUACCAGUAUCAACGGCAAUUUCCGAGUUAAGCUCGAAGAUUUCACCACUGACUUGGCAACCCGCCUACGCACCCUUUAAACCCAGUGAAUCCGGAUAACGCUUGCACCCUCCGUAUUACCGCGGCUGCUGGCAC